GUGAACGUGGUGGUGUAGGUUGAAGCAGCGGAGGAGGAGGAGGAUGAGGUAGCUAACACUGUUUUAUAUAUAUAUAUAUAUUUUUAUUUGGGGUAGCCCCCAAAAUAUUGGAACAUAUAUAAAAAGACAACCCUGUUCCACAGAGUAGCUGUUGACAUUAUGGUUGCGCAGGCACUUUGUUGACUCUGGAGAACCUCGGGCCAAUCGCACAUCCCCGUGGUGGUGACUUUGCAUGCGGAUGUCAUCCAUAUAAACUUUCGAUGCCAGUUUCUGCGCCUACCAUGGUGACCACAGGUAACGGGGAAUCAGGGUUCCAUUCCGUACAGGGUCCCUGAGAAACGGCUACCACAUGCAAGGAAGGCAGCAGGCGUGCAAAUGACCCACUCCUGACGCGGGAAGGUAGUGAC